CAGUGGAACACCGUGGAGAAUAAACCGUGAAAAGUUCGACGCGAAGGUUAGAGAAACGAUCGGUCAAGAUCGACGGAAUGCAGGAAGCGAUCUAAGAGUACACGACGAAAACCCGUUUUUAUUACUUUGGUGACAACGUUGGUUUCAGUAACAGUUAUAAAUUACAGCUGGAAAAGUGUAAUUUACAUUAUACUGGUCGUUCAAGUUCCGUUUCCGAGAGAAAAUGAACUCCAUCGCAAAACAUGCCAUAAAGAUGCUACAGAUAUUAGUGUGACUGAAAUUUUUGAUCCAAACAUGUGCCGUAGUUUUAUAGAAUAUCGUCAAAGGUCGAAUAUUGAAGGAAAAGGAAAACUACAAACAAAUCGUGAAAUAUUGUAUAACAUAUAUACAUGUUUUAUAAACAUAUGUAUAUAUGUACCUUUAGUAAAGUGAAUAAUAUGCACUUUGGUCUAAACCUAGAUUACGGAUACAU